rnacentral:tRNA from 1 species
AAGGGAGACCUAAUUCAGGUAGGAGACGAAAAAAAAGUAGUCCCUACCAAGAAUCAAUCCCAAAAGGUCGGAGCGAGGCAAAAUUGGCUUUCAAACUAGGUUCUGGGUUCACACAAGACCUGAAUCAGGAACAAGGGCUAUUAGCUCAGGUGGUUAGAGCGCACCCCUGAUAAGGGUGAGGUCCCUGGUUCGAGUCCAGGAUGGCCCACCUGUACAGGUGGCAAAGACAAAGAAAAGAAGCGAGGAAUCAGCACCUUAUCUUACUUAUAUAGUAAGAGAGAAUGCUGGCUCUGAGUAAAGAGUCCAGAGGAACCUUGAAAACUGCAUAGAGCUAGGUGAAAAAGCCAAAAAAGAAGACCGCAA